AUGGCGCAGCUCGGGGGGCUGAUCGCCUCUGCGCUCCUCAAGGUGGUGGGGGAUCAGAUCGGCUCCGUGCUCGGCGGCCAGAUCAAGCUGCGGCGUAACUUCGACAAUGACCUGCGCAGGAUGAAGGAGACGCUCGAGUGCGUCGAGGCGGUGCUGCUGGACGCCGAGAGGCGGGCCAUCACUGACAACGAGGUCCGCCUGUGGCUGAAGCGGCUCAAGGACGCCAUGUACGCCAUCUCCGACAUGCUUGAUGAUUCCGAAGCAGAGGAGGUCUCCCGCAAGAAGAAAUUGGCUGCUGUGAUCCCUUUUCUCACAACUGUUCACAAGAUUAAAAUGGCUAAUAAGAUGAAGACGAUGAGAGAGCAUGUGGCGGAGAUCACAGCUCAACACAAGGCCUUCAACUUAAUGCCAGGGGCUGGUGCCAAUAAGCAGAAAGUUACCGAUACACGUGUAACAACAUCAUCGACCCUGCAGGCACAGAUCAUUGGGAGGACUGGUGAGGAAGAGAAAAUACUGGCUUCUGUAUCUAAGGGCAUCACAGAACAAGUCACCUUUCUUCCUAUAUAUGGUAUUGGGGGCCUUGGCAAGACUACCAUGGCCAAACUAAUCUACAAUAAUAAUUCCCAAUUCCAAGACUACUCAAGGGUGUGGGUUUAUGUGUCCCAGACAUUUGACUUGAACAAUAUUGGUAAUUCUAUAAUAUCACAACUUUCAGGUAAUACGAGUCAAGACACCAACAGGGAGAUGAUACACAUUGCUCUUCAAAAGCUGUUUGCUGAAAAGCAGAAGAUUCUGAUCGUUUUAGAUGAUUUGUGGGAGGGCAGUGAUUUUCUUUUGGAUGAUCUGAAGGCUAUGUUAAUGGUUGAGAAGGCAAGCAAGGUGGUUGUUAUACUAACCACACGGAAUGAAGGCAUUGCAAAGAAAAUGUCAACCAGACCACACAAAUUAGCACCACUGACAAAUGACAUGUGUUGGACUAUAAUAAAGCAAAAGAGUGGCUUUGAAGAAAAAGAUGACAAAGCUAAGCUGGAGCAGAUUGGAAUGGACAUUGCAAUGAAAUGUGGAGGUGUGGGUUUAGCAGCUCAAUCACUUGGGUACAUGUUAAAUUCUAUGCCAACAUCUCAUGAAUGGGAGUCAGUGAGAGACAGUGAUAUUUGGACUCUAUCUGCUUCAGACUCGGAAGAUACACCUUCAAGACAGGUGAUUGCAUCUUUGAGGUUAAGUUAUAGUUCCAUGCCUUCAUAUUUGAAACUGUGCUUUGCCUAUUGUGCAAUCUUUCCAAAAGGUCACAAGAUAGUCAAAGAUGAUCUAAUUCGCCAGUGGAUUUCUCUUGAUUUUAUCAAGCCAACCAGAACAUCCUCCAGUCAUCAGCUCGGCGAGAAAUACAUUACGGAGCUUUUAGGGCUGUCAUUCCUUGAACACUCAAAGUCAUCACUGACUGCUAGAGUGCAUCCUGACGAUGUUACAUUAUUCACCAUGCAUGAUCUUGUGCAUGAUCUAGCCAGAUCGGUAAUGGAUGAUGAAAUUCUCGUCGCUAGCGAAGAUGGCAACCUUGGGGGAAGCAACUGCCACUUUGCAUUGCUCGAUGAUUGUAAGAAGCGAUUGGAGUCACCCAGGAUAAGAGCACUCCAUUUUAUGGACUCUGCUGAAAUUGGACUUCAUGAUGCUGCAUUUCCAUCUGCUAAGUCCCUACGUGUCUUGGACUUAAGUCAGUGUUGCGUACAUAAGUUGCCAGAUUCUAUUGAUCGAUCAAAAUGGUUGAGGUAUCUUAACGCUCCCAGAAUACUUGAUGCAACGAUUCCCAAUAGUAUAACCAGUCUAUCAAAAUUAAAUUACCUCAGUCUCCGUGAUUCUUCUAACAUCUUGACACUGCCACAGUCGAUUGGAGAAAUUGAAGGUCUGAUGUAUCUUGAUUUAUCUGGUUGUUCGGGAAUGAGAGAACUUCCAAAAUCCUUCGGAGAGCUAAAAAAAUUGGUGCGUCUUGAUUUGUCAAAAUGCGUUUGUGUUUGCAAUGUAUCAGAGUUCUUGGGGAGCCUCACGGAACUGCAAUAUUUGAACUUGUCAGGAUGUAGAUCUAUUGGAAAUCUACACGCAUCCUUGGGUGUCCUAUCUGAGCUGCAAUAUUUGAACUUAUCAUUCAGCUCUUAUGUUAAUUGCAGAAAAACGAAAGUAUUUGGCGCCGUCGCCAAAGUGGAGUGUUCAAAGUUAUCUUCAAGUCACUCUUGUCUGGAACAGCUCCCUGAAGUUUUAGGCAGCUUCAAUAAACUCAAGUUUUUAAACCUAUCAGGUUCUUAUUGUCUCAAAGAGUUGUCAUGGUUAUCUGGAAACCAGAAAAGUUUGGUGCAUCUUGAUUUAUCGAAGUGCAGAGAGGUUAAUUAUAUACCGGAAGCUUUUUCUGGAUUUACCAAUCUUCAAUAUUUGAAUCUAUCGGCAUGCCUCCGGUAUAGACUUGACAAGUCACCUGUAUGUCAAAUUGACCGUUUGAUAGACCAUAUUAGUACCCUUUCCAAUCUAGAGCAUUUGGAUUUGUCUAAUAAUGGUGAUGCUAUUUGCUCUUUACCUGAAUGUCUUGGUAACCUUAGAAAGCUGCACACACUGGACCUCUCACACUGCAAUAUUACAAAGAUACCAGAAAGUAUAGGUACGAUUGAUAGUUUGAAGAUGCUAUAUUUUAAGGGAUGCUGGCUUCUUUCUAAUGUACCGCAGCUCAGUGCUAGUUCCAUAUCAUUACCCCUUUUUGGCGUGCAUGCUGGUGAUGGUAAAUCGAGCAGCAACCUUGUUCUCCUACAAGGCAUGAAUCCUGUUGAGCUGAAGAUCAUCCAACUUGAAAAAGUGAAGUCGGCGGAAGAAGCUAUGUGUAUAAAGUUGAUGGAAAAAGAAAGACUUCAAGACUUGACUCUCCGGUGGACUGAAGAUGCUCAGAGGUUUGUGGAUGAUGAAGUGUUGUUGGAGAAACUAGAGCCACCGAGCAGUUUAACUACAUUGAUUAUACAAUGGUAUAAUGUUGUCAGUUUUCCAUCCUGGCUCAGCCAACUGCCAAACCUGACAUGGCUAGCUCUCUACGAUAUGAAACAUCUGGAAGAGUGGAGUGCAUCAGACUCCAGUCGUGCGAACGACCUCAGGUUCCCUAUGCUUGAUUGUUUGUAUAUAAAAAAUUGCCCCAAACUGAGGAUGUGA
rnacentral:rRNA from 1 species